rnacentral:rRNA from 1 species
CCUACGGGUGACAGCAGUGAGGAAUAUUGGUCAAUGGCCGGAAGGCUGAACCAGCCAAGCCGCGUGAGGGAGGACGGCGCAGAGCGUCGCAGACCUCUUUUGCCGGGGGACAAAAGGCCGGACGGGUCCGGUUCUGAGGGUACCCUGAGAAAAAGCAUCGGUGAACUCCGUGCCGGCAGCCGCGGUAAUACGGGGGAUGCGAGCGUUAUCCGGGUUAAUUGGGUUUAAAGGGGGUGCAGGCGGGCCUUUAAGCCGGCGGGGAAAUCGCGGGGCUCACCCCCGCCGAGCCGGCGGAACUGGGGGCCUUGAGUGCGGCGGAGGUAUGCGGAAUGCGCGGUGUAGCGGUGAAAUGCAUAGAGAUCGCGCAGAACCCCGAGUGCGAAGGCAGCGUGCCGUGCCGCAACUGACGCUGAGGCACGAAAGCGCGGGGAUCGAACAGGAUUAGAUACCCUUGUAGUC